CCUACGGGAGGCAGCAGUGAGGAAUAUUGGUCAAUGGGCGGGAGCCUGAACCAGCCAAGUCGCGUGAGGGAAGACGGUCCUAUGGAUUGUAAACCUCUUUAGGCGGGGAGCAAUGCCGGGCACGUGUGCCCGGAGGGAGAGUACCCGCAGAAUAAGCAUCGGCUAACUCCGUGCCGGCAGCCGCGGUAAUACGGAGGAUGCGAGCGUUAUCCGGAUUUAUUGGGUUUAAAGGGUGCGUAGGCGGAUUUUUAAGUCAGCGGUAAAAUGUCCGGGCUCAACCCGGGCCGGCCGUUGAAACUGGGGAUCUUGAGUGGGCGAGAAGUAUGCGGAAUGCGUGGUGUAGCGGUGAAAUGCAUAGAUAUCACGCAGAACUCCGAUUGCGAAGGCAGCAUACCGGCGCCCGACUGACGCUGAGGCACGAAAGCGUGGGGAUCGAACAGGAUUAGAUACCCCUGUAGUC
rnacentral:rRNA from 1 species